GGACACUGGGCCUCGAGGCCUGGAGUUGGACACCCCUGGUUUACAUCUUUACACAAGCUGAUGGUUACACUCUGUGACCUGAGCUGGUGUUUUGUGGUCCCUGUGACUAUAACAGUGAGAUAUUACUGGCUUUUAAGUACCUGUAAACAAAGUCCCGGCAGGUGAGACGUCUUUGGUUGUUGUCUGACAUUCGCCCGAAGUGGGAUUACAAAUUCUGCACGUUACAGUUUUUAAUCCGCUGAUGUUGGCUUUGCUGAAGACGCUGAAUGUUCCAUUCCUGGUGUUGUUAUCAAUCUUUACUUCCAGCGGCUCCAGGAUGGCUUCAUUUCCCUGGUUGUCUGUGGAGAGCCACAUCACUUCAGGUUCAGGAUAGCCCCCCGCCGUGCUGCAGGUUGCUGAGGCCUGGCUUAGCUCGAUGUUUGGUUCCUGGAAGACCGCUGGAAACAAGUCACAGAAGAGAGAAGUAUGCGGACCUGCCACAUGCAGGGUCUUCUGACAGAUAUUCUCCUUUGAGUCAUCUGAAAUAAAAGCAACUUCAAUGAAGGUCCGAUCGUGGUCCAGCAUCAG